AUUGAACGCUGGCGGCAUGCCUUACACAUGCAAGUCGAACGGCAGCACGGGAGCAAUCCUGGUGGCGAGUGGCGAACGGGUGAGUAAUAUAUCGGAACGUGCCCAGUCGUGGGGGAUAACGCAGCGAAAGCUGUGCUAAUACCGCAUACGAUCUACGGAUGAAAGCGGGGGAUCGCAAGACCUCGCGCGAUUGGAGCGGCCGAUAUCAGGUUAGCUAGUUGGUGGGGUAAAAGCCCACCAAGGCGACGAUCUGUAGCUGGUCUGAGAGGACGACCAGCCACACUGGAACUGAGACACGGUCCAGGCUCCUACGGGAGGCAGCAGUGGGGAAUUUUGGACAAUGGGCGCAAGCCUGAUCCAGCAAUGCCGCGUGCAGGAUGAAGGCCUUCGGGUUGUAAACUGCUUUUGUACGGAACGAAACGGCUCUUUCUAAUAAAGAGGGCUAAUGACGGUACCGUAAGAAUAAGCACCGGCUAACUACGUGCCAGCCGCCGCCGUAACAC
rnacentral:rRNA from 1 species